CCUACGGGAGGCAGCAGUGAGGAAUAUUGGUCAAUGGACGAGAGUCUGAACCAGCCAAGUAGCGUGAAGGAUGACUGCCCUAUGGGUUGUAAACUUCUUUUAUAUGGGAAUAAAAUGUUCCACGUGUGGGAUUUUGUAUGUCCCAUAUGAAUACGGAUCGGCUAACUCCGUGCCAGCAGCCGCGGUAAUACGGAGGAUCCGAGCGUUAUCCGGAUUUAUUGGGUUUAAAGGGAGCGUAGGUGGAUUGUUAAGUCAGUUGUGAAAGUUUGCGGCUCAACCGUAAAAUUGCAGUUGAAACUGGCAGUCUUGAGUACAGUAGAGGUGGGCGGAAUUCGUGGUGUAGCGGUGAAAUGCUUAGAUAUCACGAAGAACUCCGAUGGCGAAGGCAGUUCACUGGACUGCAACUGACACUGAGGCUCGAAAGUGUGGGUAUCAAACAGGAUUAGAUACCCUUGUAGUC
rnacentral:rRNA from 1 species